rnacentral:rRNA from 1 species
CCUACGGGAGGCAGCAGUGAGGAAUAUUGGUCAAUGGGCGCGAGCCUGAACCAGCCAAGUAGCGUGAAGGAUGACUGCCCUACGGGUUGUAAACUUCUUUUAUAAAGGAAUAAAGUGAGGCACGUGUGCCUUUUUGUAUGUACUUUAUGAAUAAGGAUCGGCUAACUCCGUGCCAGCAGCCGCGGUAAUACGGAGGAUCCGAGCGUUAUCCGGAUUUAUUGGGUUUAAAGGGAGCGUAGAUGGGUUGUUAAGUCAGUUGUGAAAGUUUGCGGCUCAACCGUAAAAUUGCAAUUGAUACUGGCAGUCUUGAGUACAGUUGAGGUAGGCGGAAUUCGUGGUGUAGCGGUGAAAUGCUUAGAUAUAUGGAAGAACACCAGUGGCGAAAGCGGCUCUCUGGUCUGUAACUGACGCUGAGGUUCGAAAGCGUGGGUAGCAAACAGGAUUAGAUACCCCUGUAGUC